UCUGAAGUAGUUAUCUUGUGAAGUUAAGUCUAGGAAAGACUUAGACUGAUCAUGUGAAGGCCUUGGAGGAGUUAGAGAGAAGAUGGCAGAGUGUGCAAAUAUAGGGCUCAAAGUGUACCUGAUAACCCAAUCCGUACACUCCCCUAAUGAAGACUUGUAUCACAAGGUAUGAAGAAGAGUGUUGGUGCAAAGUGUGGGCGUGAGAUACUUGAUCUCUUAUGACCGUGGGAGUUAUGGGAAAGCAAGGGAAUAUUCCAAGAGGAUCAGUGUGAGCUGGAUGUGCAAGCUGGAAAGGUAAAGGUGCUUUACCUUUACAGCAAAACCAAUCUCCUCCUUUCAUUCAAAAGAAGCAAUCUGAGCCUUCUAUUUGAAUCAAGUCGCCAGCUAGCACCAGCAACAUCAAAGACCAGUAUUCUCUCAUCCUUACCAUCCAUUCUAUCAUUUAUUUACAGCCUUAGGAUCUAGGUUUAUGAUAUAAGUUGUGUAAAGGCAUAUAUAAGCCUCUUAUGAUCAUUUUGUAACCUUUAAGUGAGUAAAGGGGAUUUCCCCUUCUCCUUCCUAAGUCUUUGGUUACUUUGAAUCUCCUAAUCUCUAUUCUCUGGUUACUUAAUCUUUCAGUCUCUCUAAUCUCUCAAUCUCUCACUCAAAGUCUCUUAAUCUCACGCCAUUCUUAUUCUUCCAUUAGUCUCUCUUUUAUUCUCUUCCAUUGUGGACACAAGACUCAGUCCCAACCUGUGGAGGUUGAUUCAUCACGCCCACACACAACCUGUGCUCUGAAAAUCUCACAUGGUAUCAGAGCCAGGUUCAUCAGAACUUGGUUCCAGCUUCCGCUCAAGCACAAACUCACUCCCAUGCUAUUUCAAGCCAAAAAGAAGCUUCAUGGUCCAGCUGGCUGUUCAACCUCUUCAAGAAGAAGAUGUUCUCAUCCAUGGUGUCCAGAAGCUGUCCUUGGUCGUUCUACACUCUCUCAUGUCCGUCCUGAAGAAAGAAGGCCACUGGAAGCAUGUCCAAGCCUUUCCUAUUCUCUGUCUAAGAAGAACCUUUCAAGAAGAAAGCUUUCUACUUGGGUCUUAUGGUGGCGACUCAAACAUGGUGAAAGGGAGUGUCUUUGGCAUGGUGGGUUCAAGGAGAAAGGCCAGGGAAAGAAGGAGAUGUUGGGUCUCAAACCAACAGCUCAGACUUGUCCACUUAUGAUGCGUGUUGCCUUGGAGGUUCAAGGAACCAGCACAGGUUCCUUGUUUGUAAGCUAAACCUCCUUCCCUUGUUAAAGCUUGUGUCUUUAUUAAAUGGUUGUGUUGUGUGGUGUGGUUUGUUCUGUGAGGAUUCUAUGCACACAUUGAUUGAAACUGAAUUGAAAGCUGUUGCAUAUAGUCUUGUGGCUGUCUUACAUUGAAGCAUUAGAUUCAUGUCUAAGUGCUGAGUAAAGAAGCUCUUAAGAGUGCCUAAGUAACUUGUCUUGAAUCUGUUAUGAUCUUGCUUGUACUUAGAGAGUUAGCUUGCAAAGAAUAGAACUUGAUAAUGCCUUGUGUCUAUCUGUUGCAUUGCUUGUGAUAGUAGGAAUCAAACUUGGUAAUAUAUUAAUCAAGAUUUGACAUCAAUACUAUUGAAAAUGGUUAAAUGAUUAAUGACAGUUCUAAAUAAACUUGUCUUUGCUAAGAUGAUAGAUUAUAUUAUCUAAUCAUGCUUGCUUUCAUGAGUUAGAAACUGAUUAGGAUUAAUGCAUACUGCCUUGUUGCUGCCUUGUAUUAUUGCAUUUAGAUUAAAAUCUAAGUUGCAUAUUAAGGAGUGUUUAAAAUUGCCUAAAUACUUUGACUUGAAUCUGAUAAGGUCUUGCUUAGUAUUUAGAGAAUGGUUGCUUGCAUAGAUAAGAACUUGACAUUGUCUUGAUUCUAUCUAAUGUUAUAAAGCUUGAGACAUUGGUGAUCAAACUUGAUGAAGUCAAGGAUUGAUCCCAAUGCAAUUGUGUCUUAUCUUUGCUAGAGUUUGAGUGAUGUUUCAGGUUCACAAAAGGUGUUCCUAGUUCAACAUCAAAUCCGAGUUGAAAGAGAAAGAAUGAUGCCCAUUGUGUGUACAAUGGAGAGGUGUUACAAGAAGGGAGAAGCACAGAUGGUUGUAAAACUCACUGGUGUUCUUCUUCUUAACACUGCAAGUACCAGAAGAAGAAGCUAACCGGGUCUAGGCAGUGGCGUGCCUAUUCAAGAGGGUGCUCAAACUAAGACAGAGCACUCUUGGCUGUGUGAAGAAGAAGGCUACUCUAUCAAGGCGGCUUCUAGUGUGAGGUGAUUGAAGAAGUAGCUGAAGCAUCCACAAGCAUUCCAUCAUGGUGGUGAAUUCAGAAGGGUGAUUGCAAUAAGAGAAGAAGAAGAAGUAAGGAUUCAGGUGGUAACUUUGAGAACCACUCCUCAUCAUCUUAACCAAGGGAGUAAACCUAAUCUCAUCUAUCUUAAUAUGUCUUGAUAGGUUUAUCUCCUGAUUACUAUGUGCUUUCCCUCAUUCCAUUAAGAGUUUAUAGCUUCUAGUAGAAUGUCUAGGCUAAUUGCACUGAAAUUGCUUUGCUGCUGCAUUGUCUUAUUGAUAGUAAGUAAUGUCUAGAGUCCCAGAAUCUCAUGGUCUGUUUAUUGCAUUGUCUUGAGUGUUGUCAUAGCUUGAAUCAUCAUGAAUGUGUUGUAGAAUUGAGUAGAAUGUCUCUGCUGCUUGCAUCAUGAUUGAUAAGUUAUUUUGCAUACAUAAGCAUAUCUCAUACUGUCUAAGUUCAAUCCUAGUGUUAUCUGAUGCUAUUGCCUAUGUUUAAUCCAUCAAUGAAAGUCUUGCAUCAAUUAGAAAUUGUCUAAGUUGCUUGCAUCAUUGGUUCUGAUUGAAACUGUUGUGCAGAGCUUUAAUAUUACUCAUGGAUUGAACCUGUUGCAUUCAUAUAGCUAAUGCUUUAAGAUUGUGCAUUCAUGUAGUAAUGCAUUUAAAAAUGAGCCUAAAUUGCAAAUGUACUGAUAUAAGCUUUGCAUUUAGAGAACUGUAUAGAACUUGCAUUGUCAUUGUUAGAAAUUGAAAUCUGCUUGUCUUGACUCAGUCCAGUUCUGAUUGUUGCUAUGCCAUAGUUAAAUCCAUCAGUGAUGUCUUAUAAGCAUUUAGAAGUAUGUCUAAGCUACUUGAAUCAUUGGCUUUGAUAAAACUAGUGAGCAUAAGCAUGAAUUGAGUCACUCUUGUCGCCUUAAUUGCAUAAGUAUCAUCUAGACUUGUGUUCCAUUUGGAUUGAAUCUGUUUCAUUCAUAUAGUUAGUGUAACCUAAUGCAUUCAUCUAUUGUUGCAUUUAAAAAAAAAAAAACUGAAUUGAUUGUCUUUGCUUGAUUGUCUUGAUUGUCUAGCUUGUUUCAAGUAUCUUAUAUUAUUGUGGCAUUGGUGAUCAAACAGGAUGGAUGAUCUUGGUUUGAUCCCAAUGGGAUGAUCUGAUCUUGCAUUGAGUUGUGGUGGUGUUAGGUACACAAGGGAAGUGAUACAUGUAACUCGCCAUCAACCAAGAAUGUAGAGACAAAGGUCUUGUGCCAUUACAUAUCAUCACUUGGACAUGUUAGUCCAUAAUCUACAGGAAGUGUAGUGUGAUUGAUUAUGCAAUGAGAGAUGGCCAUUGCAUAAUACCAUUGGACAUAUCUAGUCCUUAGUCUACAGGAAGUGUAGCAUGGGUCAUUAUGCAAUGAGAGAUGUGUCUUGUGAGACUCUCUAUGGUGAUUCAAACACCCUAAUUCCUGGUUAAGGAAGAGAGAAAAACUCACAAGAAGAAAGCUAUCAUAAAAGAUGAUAGUUAUUAGACCAUGGAGAUGCAUAGGAUCAUCACAAGCUUAGCUCCUUCUAGUCUUGGUUCUAAGCUUGAGGGGGAGUCUUAAUGCAUAUGAUCCAUGGUCAGUAACAAGUCUUUGCAAAGACUUCUACAAGGAUCAUCAACCGGACCAAGUCAGUGGCGUGUCUAGGCAAGAGGCUGUUCAGAGCAGUCUUGGCAAGUGAGGAAGAAGGCUCUCCAUCAAUGCGGCUUCAAUGAGAGGUGAUUGAGGAGAAGCUGAUGAAUCCAUUCUGCCUUUCCAAGAAGUUGAUGAUGCCAUGAAGAUGGUGCAUUGGCCGAGUUAGGAAACUCACAAAAACACAAGGGAAGUUCCCUUAGACUUUUUAAAAACUCUUUUCAAUCCUUUUUCAUUCAUCUUAGUCAUUGCUUGUGUUUGAAAAGAUACUGAAAAUGUUUAUGAUUGAACUGUGAGAUUGUGUGCAUCAAUUGGGAUGCAGGAUAUUCAUUUUGUUGGUGUUGAUAGGUACUGAUGCACCUUUGGGAUAAUGUAUCAGGUACCAUUGCUUGAGCCUCACUAAAGAUGUUCCGGGUCAUCUCUUAGCUUCUCUAAAGAGGCUGUGAAGUUAGUUGAGAGGGGGAGAUUCCAAACCUGGUCGAUGAAGAGGGCAAGCCGUGUGUGAAGUGUUGAUCAGUCUCACUAGUGUUUGAAGAUGAUAUGGUCGUGUCCUAGCUUCUCUAAGAUGGCUGUGAAGUCAGUUGAGAGGGGGAGACUUCAAACCGGUUCCAUGAAGAGGUGAAGCUGAGUUGUUUAGUGCACAAGGUCUUGAUGAGUUGCUGCACCAGUUUAGGCCGUGAUCCAGAACUUCUUGUGUCCAACCACACUGGUUCUAAGGCACAAGAGUUCACUGGCCAAUCCCUAGGCUUUGGAGAGCUCUACUCUUUUUCCCUUGCAAGGUUUUGUCCCAAUGGGUUUUCCUUGUAAGGUUUUUAAUGAGGGAGACUCUUCAGAGUUCCAAGCUUGGCUUAGGAUCUCCUAAAGUCAAGCUUGAGGGGGAGUGUUGAACUGAAGAGAAGAUAGAGCUUGUACAAUAAUAGGACAAGCUCUAGAAGAUGUCCAGAAGAGUUCAAUCAAGCUUUAGGAGUGUUCUGAAGUAGUUAUCCUGUGAAGUUAAGUCUAGGAAUGACUUAGACUGAUCAUGUGAAGGCCUUGGAGGAGUUAGAGAGAAGAUGGCAGAGUGUGCAAAUAUAGGGCUCAAAGUGUACCUGAUAACCCAAUCCGUACACUCCCCUAAUGAAGACUUGUAUCACAAGGUAUGAAGAAGAGUGUUGGUGCAAAGUGUGGGCGUGAGAUACUUGAUCUCUUAUGACCGUGGGAGUUAUGGGAAAGCAAGGGAAUAUUCCAAGAGGAUCAGUGUGAGCUGGAUGUGCAAGCUGGAAAGGUAAAGGUGCUUUACCUUUACAGCAAAACCAAUCUCCUCCUUUCAUUCAAAAGAAGCAAUCUGAGCCUUCUAUUUGAAUCAAGUCGCCAGCUAGCACCAGCAACAUCAAAGACCAGUCUUCUCUCAUCCUUACCAUCCAUUCUAUCAUUUAUUUACAGCCUUAGGAUCUAGGUUUAUGAUAUAAGUUGUGUAAAGGCAUAUAUAAGCCUCUUAUGAUCAUUUUGUAACCUUUAAGUGAGUAAAGGGGAUUUCCCCUUCUCCUUCCUAAGUCUUUGGUUACUUUGAAUCUCCU
rnacentral:lncRNA from 1 species